AAACAGAGGCUUAUGCAGUAAUAUUCCUAAACAAAGGUUGAAAUCAUGCCCUAUCACUUCUGGUGGGUUCCAAAAGCCGAAGAAGAACGGCAACCUUCUUGUGUGGAUACUAGUGCCAAUCCUAGGAGCACUCGUCAUUCUCUCUAUAUGUGCAGGCGCAUUUACCUACUACAUUCGGAAACGAAAACCACACAAUGGAAGAAACACAGAUUCUGAAACUGGAGAGAAUAUGUCCAUAUUCAGCGUUGAUGGCAAAUUCAAAUACCAAGAUAUCAUCGAAUCAACAAACGAAUUCGAUCAAAGAUACCUCAUCGGAAGCGGAGGAUACAGCAAAGUCUACAAAGCAAACCUCCCAGAUGCGAUCGUAGCCGUGAAAAGGCUACAUGAUACAAUAGACGAAGAGAUAUCAAAGCCAGUGGUGAAGCAAGAGUUCCUAAACGAAGUAAGAGCGUUAACAGAGAUCCGUCACCGCAACGUGGUGAAGCUCUUCGGCUUCUGCUCCCACCGCCGCCACACGUUUCUGAUCUACGAGUACAUGGAAAAAGGAAGUUUAAACAAACUCUUAGCCAACGAAGAAGAAGCUAAGCGACUCACUUGGACCAAGAGGAUCAACAUCGUGAAAGGUGUGGCUCACGCGUUAUCGUAUAUGCACCAUGACCGAUCAACUCCGAUCGUCCACCGUGAUAUUAGCAGCGGCAACAUCCUUCUCGAUAAUGAUUACACAGCUAAGAUCUCUGAUUUUGGCACAGCGAAGCUUCUCAAGACGGAUUCAUCAAACUGGUCCGCCGUUGCUGGAACCUACGGCUACGUCGCUCCAGGUAAAUCUAAAUCAAUGAAAUUAAAAAAUCCCUAAAUUAAUUCGAAAUUGAAAUUGACUGUUUCUGAAAUUUUCGCAACAGAGUUUGCUUACACGAUGAAGGUGACGGAGAAAUGCGAUGUGUAUAGCUUCGGGGUUUUGAUACUCGAGGUUAUAAUGGGGAAGCAUCCGGGAGAUUUGGUUGCGAGUUUGUCUUCGUCUCCGGGAGAAACUCUGUCCCUGAGAAGCAUUUCCGAUGAACGUAUAUUAGAACCACGGGGGCAGAAUAGAGAGAAGCUCAUAAAGAUGGUGGAAGUGGCUUUAUCGUGUUUACAAGCAGAUCCGCAAUCUCGGCCAACGAUGUUAUCAAUCUCUACAGCUUUUUCUUAGAACUCAUCUUCAUCAAUUUCUUCGACGAGGUAAAGAAAAUAACAAACUUUUUUAUAUAUUAUAAAUGUGUUUAUCAAUGCAACCGUAGUUAAAAAUUAAAAUCGUUUUUUUGGAAAGAAGGGAAGAAGAAAGAGAAGUCGUAAGGUGAAAGAAGAAUAAAGAAGAAAAGAACUUUGCUCUACUUUCUCUGCUCUACUUUCUCUGCUCAUUGCAAUGUCACUUCACGCCGUUCGAGUACUAUCCUGUGUUCUCUCUCUAAACCUUCACUUAAUUUGGCUAAACCUGUGUCUGGAUUUCUUUCUCCUUCCACUGCGUCGACGUCUCGAACCGCAUUCACCGUCGCUCCUAAAUCUCAAGAACUUGACUGUUCUUUAUCUUCAUCAGAAUUAUAUAACUGGUGUCAUUCCCCCAGAACUAGGCAACAUGGAAUCCAUGAUUGAUUUAGAGUUAAGUCAGAACAAUCUUACUGGUUCAAUUCCUUCUUCUUUUGGUAACUUUACCAAGCUGGAAAGUUUGUACCUCCGUGAUAACCACCUCUCUGGUACGAUCCCGCGAGGAGUGGCAAACUCUUCAGAGCUAACUGAAUUGCUACUCGACAUAAACAAUUUCACCGGUUUCUUGCCUGAAAACAUUUGCAAAGGUGGCAAGCUUCAGAAUUUUUCAUUAGAUUAUAAUCACCUCGAAGGUCAUAUCCCGAAAAGCUUGAGAGAUUGCAAGAGCCUGAUCAGAGCAAAAUUUGUAGGGAACAAAUUCAUUGGAAAUAUUUCUGAAGCAUUUGGGGUUUACCCAGAUCUUGAUUUCAUUGAUCUCAGCCAUAAUAAAUUCAACGGUGAAAUUUCAAGCAACUGGCAGAAGAGUCCAAAGCUAGGUGCCUUGAUCAUGUCAAACAACAACAUCACAGGUGCUAUUCCACCAGAGAUUUGGAACAUGAAACAACUGGGCGAGCUAGAUCUGUCUACCAACAACCUCACUGGUGAGCUUCCAGAAGCAAUUGGAAAUCUCACGGGUUUGUCGAAGCUACUACUGAAUGGGAAUAAGUUAUCUGGAAGAGUUCCUACGGGUUUAAGUUUCUUAACCAAUCUUGAGUCUCUUGACUUAUCCUCAAACAGAUUCAGCUCCCAGAUCCCACAAACCUUCGACUCCUUUUUAAAGCUUCAUGAAAUGAACCUGAGCAAAAACAAUUUCGAUGGACGCAUUCCCGGACUAACAAAGCUGACUCAGUUAACGCAUCUUGAUCUCAGCCACAACCAGCUCGACGGAGAAAUCCCAUCACAGCUCAGCUCCUUGCAGAGCCUCGACAAGCUCAACCUCUCACACAACAAUCUCUCAGGUUUCAUUCCAACAACUUUCGAGAGCAUGAAAGCGCUGACGUUCAUCGAUAUAUCAAAUAAUAAACUCGAGGGUCCGCUUCCAGACAAUCCAGCGUUUCAAAACGCAACAUCAGAUGCAUUGGAGGGAAACAGAGGCUUAUGCAGUAAUAUUCCUAAACAAAGGUUGAAAUCAUGCCCUAUCACUUCUGGUGGGUUCCAAAAGCCGAAGAAGAACGGCAACCUUCUUGUGUGGAUACUAGUGCCAAUCCUAGGAGCACUCGUCAUUCUCUCUAUAUGUGCAGGCGCAUUUACCUACUACAUUCGGAAACGAAAACCACACAAUGGAAGAAACACAGAUUCUGAAACUGGAGAGAAUAUGUCCAUAUUCAGCGUUGAUGGCAAAUUCAAAU
rnacentral:lncRNA from 1 species